rnacentral:rRNA from 1 species
GACGAACCGUGCGAACGUUAUUCGGAAUCACUGGGCUUAAAGCGCGUGUAGGCGGGAAGGUACGUCCGUCGCUGAAAUCCCCCGGCUCAACCGGGGAACUGGCGUGGAUACGGCCAUCCUGGAGGGGCGUAGGGGGACCUGGAACUUCCGGUGGAGCGGUGAAAUGCGUUGAGAUCGGAAGGAACGCCCGUGGCGAAAGCGGCUCUCUGGGACGGUACUGACGCUGAGACGCGAAAGCGUGGGGAGCGAACAGG